CCAUAUGGCUUUGACCCGUUAUUCAUCAAAUGAGAGUAGAAGCUUUGAACUUGGGCGGCAGUUACAGGGUAAUCAAAGCCCCUUCCUUGAAGACAAUUUUCUCCAUAACAAGGUUUUUUUGGUAUCAAGAGGUAAGCUAAAUCUCAAAACUUAUGGUUUCCCAACUAAUUUUGCUUGCUAUAGUGAUGUUUUAUUAAUAUGAUCUGCAAUUUAUAUGUUGUGAUUUUGUCAAUUCAAUAAUUGUUUUGAGUAAGCAGCAAGGAAUAGAACACUUAAAUUGUAAAACUACCACUAUCUUAGGAGUUUGUAUAGUGUGCAGAGGGUAAACAAUUGUAUGCUUGGACAAACUUUUAGAGGGCGGAGCCUAUAGCAAUUAGAAGAAAAAAAAUCUGGUCGAUAUUGACGUUUUGAUAAUAGAAUCAAACUUUUAGGGACUAUUUUUCGUUGUUAAUGGCCGGUUCUUUUGUAGUAACACCUAUAAGCUAGCUUAUGAGCAGAGAGGAUUGUCCAAGACCAUAAAAUUAGAGAAAUAAUCCAUCUAUGUACCAAUGUGCCACAUGCUUAGGCUGUUAAUUGGAGGUGAACAAUAUACCGUCAUGGUCCAUCACUAUAAUAGGGAUGGAUCUUGCUCGGAUACUGUGUUAAGAAAAUGUCCUUGGACCUAACUCAACUCCAAAGCUAGCUCACGGCCAUAUAAUGAAAUAGAUAAACAAUCAAACCAUAAGACACUGAGAGAACAAAUCAGUGAGGAGGGCUUUGUCCGAGUUGGUGCUCUAUGUAAGCAACAAUAUAAAUUUUUAUAGCUGGUUUCAUCCGAGGUUGAUCUCCGGUAGUGGGGAGGGGCUUAAGUGCUACACUUGGCUAAUGGCAAGGACAAUUUUUGUCCAAAAAUCAAAAUGGACAACAAAAUUAUGUUAUUUCAGUAGUUCAGAGAUAUUGUUUACCCUUCUCCCUAUACUCAGCGUUAAAACUAAUCGUCCCUCAUUUAGGUCAAGGAGUCGACAACAACAACAAAAAAAAGUAAUGAGGUUAAGAGACAUUGAUAUUAGAGAUAAGUUUCUAUCCAUCUUGAUAAAUGAGAAAGACUUGAACGUACGUGAUUUUAAAUAGAAAUCAUGAAAUACGAAGUAUUGAUUACAAAGUGAAAUGCAAAAAAGAAAAUAACGAUAGUAAUAUUCUGAAAUAUAACGGAACCACUCUGACAUACAAUUUAUUUCAUUUGAGAGAAAUAGGAUUUGCCUAUGAAUUUGUGGUGUUUGACACACCAAAUUUAAAGUUUGAUCCUCUUAGCUUUUCUUUUGUGAUAUGAUCCAUUCUUUCUAUCAUGUUUUCUGUUAGAUGAUUCUUCCAAUCUCCGGGCUUACCCUUCCUGAAAUAUGCGCUGUUAUCUAUCUGCAAAGAGGAAAUUGGCCAAUCCUUCCCAUUCUUAAUCACCUCCAAAUUGCUCAAGUUAUCAAAACUACAUAAUUUGACAAUCCUUUCUGGUAACCCUUCUCCCUCUUCGUCCCUUGAAAAUGGUUUCCCCAUGAACUCAGCCAACUUUCUCACGUAGAACAAUGUGUCUUUUGUUAAUUCUUCAUAAUUGAGAAACAAUAGUGAUUCUGGCUUGACUAAACUUUGUUUCCAGUACCCCAAAACAUGAUCCCAGUAGGGUCCCCACAUUGUUUUCCCUUCACAGAACAACUCGAACCCUUCCUCGAAGGAAAUUAACAAUUCUGUUGUUUCAUCCGAAUUUCCUUGAUGCAGCCACGUGAAUCUUUGCAUGAAAUGCCAAAGAGAAAUGAAAGUGUCCUUGGGUUCCCUGCACAAGUAAAUCAUCUUUGUACCGUCCAAGGACUGAACAGAUUUGGGUAAAGCAUCAAAUGGUAUAUGUGUGGCUAUAAGAGGAAUAUUCUGAGCCUUCAUACUGGAAUGAUUUUCCGGAGAAUCAAAUUCCAAGGAAGGGAUGAGAACAUGAGGAAGAUUAGUGAGCAAAGGGCUGUUUUCCAUAUUAAAAUGAUCUCUGGUUACAAUCGCGUAACACAGAGCUUUGAGCCAUGUGCAACCAGUUUUAGGAGCACUACAAACGUAUAUAUCGUUCCAAGAAGACUUAAAGUUUUCUUGUGUUGAAAUGAUAGCUUGAAGCAUUGCAAACGGAUACCAAAAGCCUUGGUACUGAUACAAAUCCAUGAAAUCAUUUGACCCUUUAACCUUUGGAAGCGUUGAUAUAAGCUUUUUGAAUCUAGAGCUCGGUUCUUCCUCUUCUUCUUCGGCAACAUGAGAGAGGUUUAUGGUCAUGUUAUUGAUCGGGGAAGAAUCCAUGAAGGUUUAAUUCAACCAAAUACUGGAUAGCUUAAGUGAGAAUGAAGAGAAGACAAUAGAUGGAUCAUGGAUUGGAUUGUGAGAGGUUCUCUGUUUUCUUUACAAAAUACUCUUUGACUUUAUGCUAUCUAUUUUACUCGUAAUGGCAUAUUCAUAUAUGAUAUAUUUAAUCGUGCGAGUGUUAAGGGUAUUAGGGUCGUCUCAACAAGAUUGAACAUGCCAUUACAAGUCCUCCACAUGGUCGUAGAUAUUUCUUUAUUCUUUGAGAUUUUUCUUGUUUUGCUUAUGUUGAGGUUCAACUGAAUCCGAAUUGCCACAAUUUCAUAACUAGGAUUCGAACUGAUCAAAACAUUUGAUUAAAGAUGAAGAAGUAGUUACCACCGUCCUCCAUAACCUUUGUUGGUGAGAUUCUACUUUAGUUAUCACUUGAUGAGUGUUUCAAUUCCACUAUUAAUUUUAUAGCAUCUACUCUGUCACUAUUAAUUUUAUAGCAUCUACUCUGUCACUUGACAUAGCCAGCACAUGUUAUUACAAUAAGUAUUUCCUUCCUUCGUAAUUUUUGGGUGAUCAGUUUUAUGGCUACUGCACAUGUUAUUUUUUUUUAAAGUUGUAUGAUAUUCCAUUGGAGAUAGAUAAAAUAUUGUAUAUUAUUCAACUUAUGUAAAUUGAUCAUAAGAAACUAUUUCUUUAUAUUUUUCUUCGUUAUUCAACACCUUGUUCUGUCGAGAGUGUUCAAAAUAUGUUGUUUAAUCACUUUAUAUAUUAUUUUACUUGUAUAUACGAUAUUACUUUCUGACGAAAUAGGGUAGCUAUGCUCGUGUGUU
rnacentral:lncRNA from 1 species